rnacentral:rRNA from 1 species
AUGCAAGUCGAGGGGGAUCCGGGAGCUUGCUCCCGGUGAGACCGGCGCACGGGUGCGUAACGCGUAUGCAACCUGCCUCCGUCUGGGGGAUAGCCCGGAGAAAUCCGGAUUAACACCGCAUAAAAACACAGUACAGCAUUGUACAAUGUUCAAAUAUUCAUAGGACGGAGAUGGGCAUGCGUGCCAUUAGCUGGUUGGCGGGGUAACGGCCCACCAAGGCGACGAUGGCUAGGGGAUCUGAGAGGAUGGCCCCCCACACUGGUACUGAGACACGGACCAGACUCCUACGGGAGGCAGCAGUAAGGAAUAUUGGUCAAUGGGGGCAACCCUGAACCAGCCAUGCCGCGUGCAGGAAGACAGCCCUACGGGUCGUAAACUGCUUUUGUACGGGAACAAACCCCUCCUCGUGAGGAGGGCUGAGCGUACCGUAAGAAUAAGGAUCGGCUAACUCCGUGCCAGCAGCCGCGGUAAUACGGAGGAUCCGAGCGUUAUCCGGAUUUAUUGGGUUUAAAGGGAGCGUAGGCGGCCCGUUAAGUCAGGGGUGAAAGACGGUGGCUCAACCAUCGCAGUGCCUUUGAUACUGACGGGCUUGAAUACACCUGAGGUAGGCGGAAUGUGGCAAGUAGCGGUGAAAUGCAUAGAUAUGCCACAGAACACCGAUUGCGAAGGCAGCUUACUAAAGUGUGAUUGACGCUGAGGCUCGAAAGCGUGGGGAUCAAACAGGAUUAGAUACCCUGGUAGUCCACGCCCUAAACGAUGAUAACUCGAUGUCGGCGAUAUACGGCCGGCGUCCAAGCGAAAGCGUUAAGUUAUCCACCUGGGGAGUACGCCCGCAAGGGUGAAACUCAAAGGAAUUGACGGGGGCCCGCACAAGCGGAGGAGCAUGUGGUUUAAUUCGAUGAUACGCGAGGAACCUUACCCGGGCUUGAAAGUUACUGAAGGCACUGGAGACAGUGCCGUCCCUCGGGACAGGAAACUAGGUGCUGCAUGGCUGUCGUCAGCUCGUGCCGUGAGGUGUUGGGUUAAGUCCCGCAACGAGCGCAACCCCUAUGUUUAGUUGCCAGCAUGUCAAGGUGGGGACUCUAAACAGACUGCCUACGUAAGUAGAGAGGAAGGUGGGGACGACGUCAAGUCAUCAUGGCCCUUACGUCCGGGGCUACACACGUGCUACAAUGGACGGUACAGAGGGCAGCCACCCCGCAAGGGGGCGCGAAUCUCACAAAGCCGUUCACAGUUCGGAUCGGGGUCUGCAACUCGACCCCGUGAAGUUGGAUUCGCUAGUAAUCGCGUAUCAGCAAUGACGCGGUGAAUACGUUCCCGGGCCUUGUACACACCGCCCGUCAAGCCAUGGAAGCCGGGGGCGCCUAAAGUCCGUGACCGCAAGGAGCGGCC